GAUGAACGCUGGCGGCGUGCCUAAUACAUGCAAGUCGAGCGAACAGACGAGGAGCUUGCUCCUCUGACGUUAGCGGCGGACGGGUGAGUAACACGUGGAUAACCUACCUAUAAGACUGGGAUAACUUCGGGAAACCGGAGCUAAUACCGGAUAAUAUAUUGAACCGCAUGGUUCAAUAGUGAAAGACGGUUUUGCUGUCACUUAUAGAUGGAUCCGCGCCGCAUUAGCUAGUUGGUAAGGUAAAGGCUUACCAAGGCAACGAUGCGUAGCCGACCUGAGAGAGUGAUCGGCCACACUGGAACUGAGACACGGUCCAGACACCGACGGGAGGCAGCAGUAGGGAAUCUUCCGCAAUGGACGAAAGCCUGACGGAGCAACGCCGCGUGAGUGAUGAAGGUCUUCGGAUCGUAAAACUCUGUUAUUAGGGAAGAACAAAUGUGUAAGUAACUAUGCACGUCUUGACGGUACCUAAUCAGAAAGCCACGGCUAACUACGUG
rnacentral:rRNA from 1 species